ensembl:lncRNA
GCGGGGCCUCGCCCCGCGAUCCAGGAUUGAGGAGGACCCUACUGGCUUCCAGGGAGGUGGAAACUGGAUUGAUAGAAAUCCAGCGCGGGGACGCUGUGCCGAGAAGAGGGACGCCCCUGCCCUGCGCCUCCCGCUCCCCAUCCCUGGCAGGUAUCCCCGGUUACAGAAUGAGGUCCGUGGUGCAAAAAGAAGAAUGAGCCACUGAUACACUCAUCAGCUUGCUCGGAUCUCCCAGGGAGUUAGGCUGGUGAGAGAAACCAGUCCCAAAGGUCACUCACCCACGGCGCCGCUGGUGUACUGGUAUUAUGCAAGAUGCUCCCCCAAAGGUCACGCACGGAUGGUUCAUUUCUACCAAAAACAGAGGAGAGAAAUGCAGGACUUAUAGCGGUACCCAGGAGUUAGGGAGGCGGGUGCGUGUGGCUAUAAAAACGCAACCCGGGUGCCCUGUGAAGGAAUCUGUGUCCCGCGGAAUGCAACACGCCGUUGGGAUACUGGGACCGUCCUUUGUGAGAUGUCACCCAUCGGGAGAAACCGGAUAAAGGGCGCAUGGCUCCACAGAAAAAGUUCAAUUAAAGGAAAAUGGUUUAAGGCCAAAGAAAGGCCUAGAAAAUGGGAAGUCUGGAACCAGAGCCAGUGGGGGGUUGGGGGCGGUGUUGGGGAACAGUUUGGGCCGAUUGUCCUUCUCCAGCGCUUGCUGGAUUCUGCCACCCCAUUUGGCAGCCACCUGCCACUGUGACCUCUCCAAGUCCCUUCUCCAAACCCUAUACCUUGAUUUCUGGUGUCCUAGAAAUAGAGACCAGAAACAUUGAUGUCCCCACUCCAACAAUAGAGCAGAAGGAAGGAAGGUUUCCCCUGUGUUUAGAAUGUUCCUAAUGAAAAACUGCAACUGUUGAUGCACUUCCUGAGAGUCGUUGGGACUUUCCCUCUCAUAUACUUACUGGUUCAUUCGUUCGUUCAUUUUGCUUAACUCACAAGGAACUGCCCAUCCUAAGGUGUAGUGCUGGCAUUGGUCAUGUAUUGAUGAGUUCUCCUUGUCUUCAGAGGUGAGAAUGUGCCCUCUCUCUGAGAUGCCCCUUGCCCUAAGCUCCCAGCGGGGAACAGGCUGCCUUGUCUCGUGAGUCCAGAUCCUGGGAGCAGCUUUCAUUUAGGAAUGGAACGGCAGGUCCUGGGAGCAUUGGCGCCUGCGCGCCCAUCAUGCGAGUCUGUGAUGCCAACGUCACCACCUUGUGGCAGCGAGGAAAUCACAACGUGGACUGACAAGUUGUUCCCUGGUUGGGGUUGGAAGCUGACUGUCCUAGUUCCCUGGGUCUUUUGAAUAGUGUAAGUUGAACGGUGGUAGAUCCAGGACAGUUCAGGAGGAGCCCAUCGUCAAAAGGAAAAUAACAGAACUUACUGCAAUCUGGUAUUGGAGCUGAGCAAUUACUGCAAACAAAUGAGAUGUGACCAUAAUUGCAUCCUGAUUUGAGGAGGAGGUCAUGCUACUAAAACGAGAUAGUCAGCUCCAACGACGACAUCAUAUCUGGGGGUUCCAGAUUCUCACUUUUCAUUAAUCCCCAGCCUUAGUGGAAUGCAAGAGUCGGAGUCAGCAUUCUGGGCAGGGAGGCAAGCUGAGGCACGUACCAUCUCUUCUUCCCAAACCCCAUGUUUCUAAUCUGGAUAAAAUGGACCAUAAUGGUGCAAGGAAAAAGAAUGCCUGGGUUCUGAAGUCCCUUUUUAGGAUGAAACCAGCUGAAGCUGGCGAAAUCCAAGAUGACACCUCUGAAGAACCUCUGGCUUCAUUAUCAUCCUGUUUUCACGCUAAGUGACACUCCCACCAGCGCCAUGACAGUUGACAGUCGCCAUGACAACGGCUGGAAGAGACCAGGAAAAUCUCCGUCCUUUCCCAAGAAAAGCAUGAAUAUUCCCCUCCUUGCUCUUAAUGCCCAGCCCCUUCAUUGAAGAAAACUUACGCCUUUAACUUCCCAGCUCUCACAAGCUAAGCUGAUUUCAGAUCGUCUAGUUCCACAGCCAUUGAAUAAAGCCUGAACUGCUUGAUACUCA